GAAAAUAAGAGAAAAUUCACGCUUGAGAACAUUCAUGGUGAGGAGCUUCGCAUAACUCUUUGGGGUGAUAGUGCCAGAGAUUUUGAUGAACUCGCUCUUCAUAACCUACCACCUCAAGUUAUCAUUGCGUUUGCUGGAUUUCGUGUCAUGGAAUUUAAGGGAAAACCAAAUCUUAACAUUACAGUCGCCUCUCUUUGUACUUCAAUCCAGACAUACCAGAAUGCUUAGCAUAUAAACAUUUUUUUACACAACUAUCUGUUGAAAUACAAUAACUCCCUUCAUCAUCAAAUGUUGUUUUAUUGAUAGAGGAA